UACGUAGGGAGCAAGCGUUGUCCGGAUUUAUUGGGCGUAAAGAGCUCGUAGGCGGUUAAGAAAGUCAGGUGUGAAACCUCCAGGCUCAACCUGGAGACGCCACUUGAUACUUCUUUGACUUGAGUUUGGUAGGGGAACACGGAAUUCCUGGUGUAGCGGUGAAAUGCGCAGAUAUCAGGAGGAACACCGAUGGCGAAGGCAGUGUUCUGGGCCAAAACUGACGCUGAGGAGCGAAAGCGUGGGGAGCGAACAGGG
rnacentral:rRNA from 1 species